rnacentral:ncRNA from 2 species
AUUUGAAGCUAGAGGUGUCAGAAAA